UACGUAGGGGGCAAGCGUUAUCCGGAUUUACUGGGUGUAAAGGGGGCGCAGACGGCGAUGCAAGCCAGGAGUGAAAGCCCGGGGCCCAACCCCGAGACUGCUCUUGGAACUGCGUGGCUGGAGUGCAGGAGGGGCGGGCGGAAUUCCUGGUGUAGCGGUGAAAUGCGUAGAUAUCAGGAGGAACACCGGUGGCGAAGGCGGCCUGCUGGACUGCAACUGACGUUGAGGCCCGAAAGCGUGGGGAGCAAACAGG
rnacentral:rRNA from 1 species